CAGUCGCCGCGGUAAUACGGAGGGUGCAAGCGUUAAUCGGAAUUACUGGGCGUAAAGCGUGCGUAGGCGGUUCGUUAAGUCUGUUGUGAAAGCCCCGGGCUCAACCUGGGAAUGGCAAUGGAUACUGGCGAGCUAGAGUGUGUCAGAGGAUGGUGGAAUUCCCGGUGUAGCGGUGAAAUGCGUAGAGAUCGGGAGGAACAUCAGUGGCGAAGGCGGCUCACUGGUCCAUUACUGACGCUGAGGUGCGAAAGCGUGGGGAGCAAACAGGAUUAGAUACCCCCGUAGUCCCUGUCUCUUAUAC
rnacentral:rRNA from 1 species